rnacentral:rRNA from 1 species
UCACCUGUUUAUCAAAAACAUUUCUUUAAGGAGUAAUUUAAAGUAAAACCUGCUCAAUGACAAGAAUAAAUAGCCGCAGUAUUACUGUGCUAAGGUAGCAUAAUAAUUUGCUUCUUAAUUAGGAGAUCGUAUGAAGGGUUAUACAUUAGAAUCCUGUCUCUUUUAACCAAAUAAACUUAAGUAAAAAGUAAAAACUCUUUUAACCAAAGCGGGACGACAAGACCCUGACAAACUUAACAUUUAGUUGGGGAAACAAAAUAAUAAAUAUUUAUUCAUAACCUAAACAUAACUUUAAAAUAAAAAUAAGACUAGUUACUGCAGGGAUAACAGCGUUAUUUCUUUUGAGAGCUCUUAUCUAAAAAGAAGAUUACGACCUCGAUGUUGAAUUAAUUCCGCUAUACAGGUGCAACAACCUUAUAAGGUAG